UCGAAUUACCGGCGAGGGUUGUAGCUGGCCUCUCGAGGCACGUGCACGCCCGAGCCUUAUAUUCCAACACACCUGUGAACCAAAUGUAGGCCUUCGGGCCUAUGUCUUUCAUCAACCCAAAUGUAUGUCUAUAGAAUGUAAUACUAUUAUUGCCUUAAAAACGCAAACAAUA
rnacentral:misc_RNA from 1 species